GACGAACGCUGGCGGCGUUCUUAACACAUGCAAGUCGAACGGUGAAGGGACCGGUUUUUGCUGGUUCUGGAUGAGUGGCGAACGGGUGAGUAACACGUGAGUAACCUGCCCCCUUCUUCUGGAUAACCGCAUGAAAGUGUGGCUAAUACGGGAUAUUCUGCGCCUGCUGCAUGGUGGGUGUGGGAAAGAUAUUGUUUCGGUGGGGGAUGGGCUCGCGGCCUAUCAGCUUGUUGGUGGGGUGAUGGCCUACCAAGGCGGUGACGGGUAGCCGGCCUGAGAGGGUGGACGGUCACACUGGGACUGAGACACGGCCCAGACUCCUACGGGAGGCAGCAGUGGGGAAUAUUGCACAAUGGGCGCAAGCCUGAUGCAGCGACGCCGCGUGAGGGAUGGAGGCCUUCGGGUUGUAAACCUCUUUCGCCAGUGAAGCAGGCCUGUCCCUUUUGUGGGUGGGUUGACGGUAGCUGGAUAAGAAGCGCCGGCUAACUACGUG
rnacentral:rRNA from 1 species